rnacentral:rRNA from 1 species
ACGCUGGCGGCAGGCCUAACACAUGCAAGUCGAGCGGAUGAAGGGAGCUUGCUCCCUGAUUCAGCGGCGGACGGGUGAGUAAUGCCUAGGAAUCUGCCUGGUAGUGGGGGACAACGUCUCGAAAGGGACGCUAAUACCGCAUACGUCCUACGGGAGAAAGUGGGGGAUCUUCGGACCUCACGCUAUCAGAUGAGCCUAGGUCGGAUUAGCUAGUUGGUGAGGUAAUGGCUCACCAAGGCGACGAUCCGUAACUGGUCUGAGAGGAUGAUCAGUCACACUGGAACUGAGACACGGUCCAGACUCCUACGGGAGGCAGCAGUGGGGAAUAUUGGACAAUGGGCGAAAGCCUGAUCCAGCCAUGCCGCGUGUGUGAAGAAGGUCUUCGGAUUGUAAAGCACUUUAAGUUGGGAGGAAGGGCACUAACCUAAUACGUUGGUGUUUUGACGUUACCGACAGAAUAAGCACCGGCUAACUCUGUGCCAGCAGCCGCGGUAAUACAGAGGGUGCAAGCGUUAAUCGGAAUUACUGGGCGUAAAGCGCGCGUAGGUGGUUUGUUAAGUUGGAUGUGAAAUCCCCGGGCUCAACCUGGGAACUGCAUCCAAAACUGGCAAGCUAGAGUAGGGCAGAGGGUGGUGGAAUUUCCUGUGUAGCGGUGAAAUGCGUAGAUAUAGGAAGGAACACCAGUGGCGAAGGCGACCACCUGGGCUCAUACUGACACUGAGGUGCGAAAGCGUGGGGAGCAAAC